rnacentral:rRNA from 1 species
CAGCAGCCACGGGAAUACGUAGGUGGCAAGCGUUGUCCGGAAUUAUUGGGCGUAAAGGGCUCGCAGGCGGUUUCUUAAGUCUGAUGUGAAAGCCCCCGGCUCAACCGGGGAGGGUCAUUGGAAACUGGGAAACUUGAGUGCAGAAGAGGAGAGUGGAAUUCCACGUGUAGCGGUGAAAUGCGUAGAGAUGUGGAGGUACACCAGUGGCGAAGGCGACUCUCUGGUCUGUAACUGACGCUGAGGAGCGAAAGCGUGGGGAGCGAACAGGAUUAGAUACCCCCGUAGUCCCUGUCUCUUAUAC